rnacentral:antisense_RNA from 1 species
GAUUGAAACUGAAUUAGAAAAGUCAACACAGCUCAGAGAUUGACAGUGACUGGUGAGCUUUACAUGUCCUCAUUUUUGAGAGAGGGUAACAGCUUCCAAUUAAUUACAUCUCCUUGGGCACAAAGAGUUGCUUUUGUGGUGGGACAGAAGUUCAAAAGUGUAGAAGGCUGUGCGCAGAUGCUGAGUGGCUAAUGGGCCGUGCCAGUUAGGAAGCUCGUCUCUCAGUUCCACACCCGCUCUUUUUAGCUCUGCUUUUGUGAUACCAGCGACAGAACUCUGCAAACAUCUCUGCUUCGCAGCUGGCAUCCUGUUGGAUUUUUCCAGUAGAGGGAAGCUUCCAUGCUGCAGGAAGAAGGGGCGUGCUCCUUCCCGUUCCUGUCAGCACUGCUGCAGCAGUUUGCUCUCACAGCUGCAUGUGAUCCCAGUUGCCAUUUCUGACCUGCUCAGAACCAGCUUCAUGAUGGGCUCAAAGACCCAGGACCAGCUCUGGCAUGUACACGUGGCCACGGUACCCUUCGUACAACACGGGAAGAGAACAACAGGACGCCCAAGAGGCAUCUGGACAGCACACAGCAAACAGGCUGAACGCCCCCCCACGGAACCCCAUUAAAAAACAGUGUUUGUCUAUUACAAA